CCUACGGGAGGCAGCAGUAGGGAAUUUUCGGCAAUGGUGGGAACCCUGACCGAGCAACGCCGCGUGAAGGAAGAAGGAAUUCGUUCUGUAAACUUCUGUUGUAAAGGAAGAAAGACGGAUGGAGGAAAUGACAUCCGAGUGACGGUACUUUAUGAGAAAGCCACGGCUAACUACGUGCCAGCAGCCGCGGUAAUACGGAGGUGGCAAGCGUUAUCCGGAAUUAUUGGGCGAAAAGAGAGAGCGGGCGGCAGGAAAGUGCUUUGGUGAAGGACUGAAGCUAAACUUCAGAAAGCCAUGGAAACCGGGCAGCUAGAGUGCAGGAGAGGAUCGUAGAAUUCCAUGUGUAGCGGUGAAAUGCGUAGAUAUAUGGAGGAACACCAGUGGCGAAGGCGACGAUCUGGCCUGCAACUGACGCUCAGUCCCGAAAGCGUGGGGAGCAAAUAGGAUUAGAUACCCCAGUAGUC
rnacentral:rRNA from 1 species